rnacentral:rRNA from 1 species
UACGAAGGGGGCUAGCGUUGCUCGGAAUUACUGGGCGUAAAGGGCGCGUAGGCGGGCGUUUAAGUCAGAGGUCAAAUCCCGGGGCUCAACCUCGGAACUGCCCUUUGAUACUGGACGCCUAGAGUAUGGGAGAGGUGAGUGGAACUCCGAGUGUAGAGGUGAAAUUCGUAGAUAUUCGGAAGAACACCAGUGGCGAAGGCGACUCACUGGCCCAUUACUGACGCUGAGGCGCGAAAGCGUGGGGAGCAAACAGGG